AUGCCAAAUCUAAAACGGAAGUUAUCGAACGUUCCAGCUGCAGGGCUCUCUUCCUGCCUUGCCAUGACCCUGUCCUCUGCCCAGGAACAGGCAGCACCUGUGGGAUUUCUUGAUGUACACACAUCCAGCUUCAGAGCAAGGGAGCCAUCUGCCCCUAGGUUCUCAGUCAGACACCGGAAAACUUGCCCAAGCCAAUCUCUGCUUUCCCCAAACCUGCUCUGCCUUAAAGUCCUACCCAGCCCAGGAACCUUCAGAGCCACAAGGGGUCACGAUGCUCAGGAGCCUCGCCCUCAUGCCGCCCUGGCCUCAGCUGGUGGUGGGUCAGCGCCAUGGCUGCCUCUGCCUGACUCCCAGGGACAAGACAGCCACUCAUCUUCUGGAAAUGAACCGAGGGCACUAGAGAGCUCAUACACCCCUAGUUCUAAGCUUUCCAUUCUGUGACCCAUUAGGUACCAGGGCCACAAGGUUCUGAGGCCCAAGAGACUGAACACUCUCAUAGUUUCCCUACACGCAUGCCUUUGUAAAUAGUCCCUUCAUUAAAACAUCCAUCUGAAUUCUAAGCGACUGUGCCUUCUGCUUCCUACUCUGACUCAAGCUGAGCUUUCCCUAAAACCCUGUGAGGGCUGUCCUGUCUGCUCACCCUCCUCCAGUCCUGGUCCCCAGAGUGGUAGCUUCUCAUUCGCGUGCCAGCCUCACCUAAUUACAAGACUGGGGUCAAAGGCAGAGGUGGCCCAGGUGGCCUCAGUGGUCCUCAUCUCUGGGCAUGGAACAGGAGAGGUGAGAGGCAGCUGAGGCCAAGUCAAGAGCAGAGACCAGCAGAAGGGUACCAGAAACAGGGUCCAAGUCCUGCCAUCAGCAAGGCCACCAAGUCCUGACAGGUGUCCCCAGGCAUCGGGCCUGCCGGCCGUGUUGCUCUCCAGCUCUGCCUGUAAGGGGAGUUUUGCUCUUUCUCCUUGUCCCUCCAUGCAUUCUUCCUGCUCAGAACCCAGGGCUACCAGACCAGAGCAAGCUUGGUGAGUCCCUCUCUCAUUUCCCUAAGCAUUGAGCCCCUCCAGAUCACCUCUCUCCUGCCCUCCAGGCCCCUCAGCCCAGUCCAGUUUUAUUCUGAGACUAGCCAGGACCCCCUCCUCCAACCUGAAGUCCGUGAAGCCCCUCACAGCUCCAGCAGGCCCAGGGUCCGGGUCAGUGGACAGAAAGUGGGUCUGAGGUCUAAUCUUUGGUAAGCACCCCAGAGCCCAGAUCCCUUUCUGGCUCCAAGAGAGGGCCCUGGGUUCCCCUAUUUGAG
rnacentral:lncRNA from 1 species